ensembl:lncRNA
CUACAGAUGACGACGAAGUACAGAAAACCCAUGACACAAAUUGUCAUGCAGAAAACUGGUUCUGCAUUGUAAAAUAUAAAAUAUUACAGAAAAAACUUCACCAUCGUCCAGCAACAUUUAUACAAAAAAUGUAUGCAUCAUUGCAAGGCCGGUACAGGGAGCACAUUCUGCAACACAACCUUCCUGACAGAAUAUUACAGAAGUGUUUCAGUGUGAAAAAAGGAGGAUUGGAGGACUCUGAAGAAAAAUGGGCCAAGAAGAACAUCUGUGAUCGAAAAGGGAAAAAAACAAAGUACUUUCAUACACCAGAUUUAAUACCUUCUCCAAAUGCAAAAUCAUCAAAACCUUCAGUCGUCACCCAAAGUCCAGUAAGGAAGGAGAUUAUGUCACAAUUGAGUCCAAAAUUUCACAGGAAGCAAAAGCUUCUGUUCCACAACGGAAGUCUAGAAACACAAAACCACACCAUGUCAAACGAGUGUCUAAAACUUCACACGCAUCAGAAGCUCAUACCAAAACCAAAAACAAAGAAACC